UCUGCUUAUUCCUGUCUGAAGUAUUAUCCGAUACUUCAGACUUAUCGUCCGAUGAAUUUACUUUGUUGACAUAUCGACAGAAUUUUUAUUCCUUUCAACCUUUCAAUCAAGUCCGCCUUUCUUCCAGUAACACACUGUCCAUAUAAUCUUAAAUAUUUCUUUCACUCAGGAACAGUAAGUACUUCGAUAGCUGAAUCAUCAAGCUGCUUUAUAUCCAUGAUAAGACGUAAAACAAUAACAAUGGCGUGGGUUAGCCUCCGGAAGUUUAAUUAUCUACAUGGAGCGCCGCCUAGCCAAGGGAGAUAACCUACUUAUAGGAAAGCCCUAUAUCAAUGAUUUGAAACCUGACCGUUAGAUUCCUACUUUCGUAGCAGUAGGUGGUCGUUGUUCUAACAAAAACGAUAUAAUAUUUCUAAUUGUUUUUGUCGUGUGAAGGAGAUGAAUAAAAAAUGGCGUGUAAAAUUGAAUUUUAUGGGAAUUGUAAACGUUACAAAGUUUCAGCUUAGAUCUGUGGCCAUGCUGGUGCACCGCCGUUUUGCUACACUGUUAUUUAUUACUGAGAGCCUCCUCUAAUAUGUGGCACUUGGUGAAGAAUGGAGUUUGAUGUUGCUACCCUCAUUUGCACCUCUUGCCGUGAGAAAGAGGAGACACAGGAAAGUCCAAGAGAAAAGGAAGACAGAGGAAAAAAAUUGCCAACAAUCCACAUGUGGUUACAUUUUGAAAGGCUGCUUUUCAGGUGGUUUUCUGCUGGUAUAUCAUCAGAAAAAGGUAAUUAAAAUUCACUGAAAUGACAGAUCGGACUUUCAAAGAGGUCAAAUUAUUGGUGCUCAUAUGGCGGGUGCUAGCGUAAUGAAAACAGCUGAAAUGUUUGG